ensembl:lncRNA
CUGUAACUAAGUUUUCCAACAUCUUCAGGACAGAGGAGUUUGUGCUUUGUGGUUUCUCGGUCACAUGACCAGCUGCCAUUUUAUUUGGCUUUUUAACUUCAUGAGAGAGAGAAAAAGACUUGCGUUAUAGCUGUUAGAACGUAAGUGAGAGCAGGAACUAACCUCACGAGCUUCACGAUCGUCACUAAACAUUAAAUGUGAUUAAAACUAGCUAUAAAGUAGAAGGUGUCACUGCUGUUGUAUAAGGGGAAUAAAACACUUGGAGACGUGUCGCUUUAGGGAAAAAUACAGCUUUGAGGCGGUAACAUUAACUCCGCUUCAUCACACCACUGAUCAUAUAUUUAUUAUAAAAAGUGCUGCAUGACUGGAUCAUAAACAGAACGAUCACCAAGACUCACCUCAGACUGCGUGGCGGAGUUGGUGGACACCAGGCUGGUUUGAGAUCGGUUGUCCGAGUUGAUGUCUUCGAGUAAGUACUCCGACUCAAAGGACUGAGCCGACGCAAGUCGUGUUGCUCUUUGCCCAACUCGCCUUUCUGAACGAUCUGACAGUCCCUCCAAACUCGGACCCUCACCAAGAGAACACAGGGAGGUGGCAACGGAUUUUGAGGGGUUGCGGAGGCUGCUCCUCUGGCCCCAAACCCCAGGAUUUUGUGGUUUGGGAGUCAUUGGCUUAGUUGGUGUAUCAAGUCCUUCAAAGGAACCCAGGGAUCUUGUCCAGGAUGGAGAUAGCUGAUUUGUUAGAGCAAAAACACUAGGGUGCAUGGGUUUCUCCGAGAUGUUCUCAUGACUGUGGACAGCCUCAAAGUUUUUAGCUAAGCCAUUAGAUAGUGUAUUCCUCUCAACAGGCUCCGCCUUAGGUCCAGACACUGAUGCUUCAGAGUGUGAUGUGCUUUUAAAAUCCCCCUUGGAGCUCUGGAAUCCCUGAAGAUCCGGACGAUCCUCGGUUAACCCAGACACUAAGUCACUCAGGUGGCGACAUCUAGACUUGGCACCACUUGGUCCAGGAAGAGAGAGAGUUCUCUUUAGCAUCUCAGAAUCCUUAGACAUUUUUCUCUUCACCCAAGGUUGCUUGGAUUUUGUAUCCUGGUUCAGAACGCUGGGAUCCUGUUGGUGGUCUUUUUCAGCAGUUCGGAUCUCGAACAAGCUCGACAGAGACUUCUGAGCCAGUGCGAGCUUCAUGCGGAAGUUAUCACUGCUCUUGCUUUUCUUCUGGGGAUCAAGAACAGGUUUCGUUUGCCCUCGCUCACUGUAACUGUCAUGUUGUUGUGUAUUCUUGGAGCUGGACGUGGAUUUGGAUUGUUCAUUCCAGGUUACACCAAGGGCUUUCCCCAAGACCACAUCACUAGAUUGAUCCUCGUAUUUUGUCGAGUGAUCUACAGUAGGAUUAUGACUAGGUGUCUGAUUUCUCUCCUCUCCAACCUCAGGAGAUAUUUUGCUCUCAGGUUCAACCUUGCUUCCAACCUUGAUCUCUCUCUUGCUUUUGCGGAAGGAGGGGAUUCUUGUGAACCUGGAGAACUUUGAGCUUUUCCCUGCAGACAUGCUCUUGGUCUCCUUGUUCUUUAAUAAGCUCUGGCUGCUGCCAGUGGAGUUCGAGUUGCUUCCUGUUGUGCCGUGACUGGGAUCUUCAACUUCUUCACUGUUUGUUGUAAUAAAGUCUUGAUCUGGAGAUGCGGAAUUGGGAAUAUCAUCAUCAUCAUCAUCAUCAUUAGCAUCACACUCGUUUGUCAGACAAGAGGUGGUGUCUACAUCUUCUGGUUUAUCAGAAAAUCCUCUCAUAGACCCGACAUUGUAUAGCGCAUCAUUUUCAUCCCUUUGUAAAGGGGUGCAUUCGUCCUCAUUCGCAGAUGAUACAAGAUCCUUCAGUUCUCCAUUCAAACUCUCUGAGAUCUCCUGAGGGUGCUCCGACUCCAUAAUGGGCUCCAAAUCUGAUACUAGGCCAGUGCUAACAUCUAUAGAAGGGUAACUCUGGAUCUGAAGUGAAUCUGGACAAAAAGGUGCUGCUUCGGAUUCAUAAGUUCCUGAUCCACUGGUAACACUGAUUGAGGCAGAGUGAGGCAUUAGGCUUUGCUCUCGGAGGAUCUUCUGACAUGUAGGUCCAUUUAUAGAAAGAGCGUAUGAAAACUCAGAGCUCUGACAACUGGAAUGAAUCAGUCCACGGUGAGCAUCCGCGACUGGACGGACAGUAGGAUCUGCCAUGAUGUCCUGGUGUUCCCCCAACUGGCACUCUUUACCAUACAUCUUCCCCUGAGAAGCAUCUUCUACAUCAAGUGGAUUUGAAUGAUCCCUUUUGUAAUCCAUCAUGACUCGUUCAGAGAUCUCAAAGAAGCCGGCAGAAUUGUUUGAUAAAUUUGAGAAGACGUUCGAGGGACCAUCUUGCAUGGAUGGAUGCACAUGAUUCCAGAGUUCCUGUUCUAGUGUAGGAGCAUGUAAAGUGCAAGGUGUCUCAGACGUAGCCUGGUCUCCUUGCAGGACCUGUUUAGUGAAUUUGGUGAUGUUAAGAGAACCUAAAGGAGUCGAUUCCUUGAAUAAAACCUCAACUGGACCUGGUAGUUGUCCUACAUAGCUGUCUACAACAUCUCCUCGAACACAAUCGAAGGGAACACGUUGUGAUUCUUUACCAGCUGAAGAUGGCAUCACAUAAGAGUCGAUAUAACCCGAGUUAUCUGAAUAAAUGACCUCCUGCUCUUUCUGGGGUAUGACCGUGAAUUCCUUCACACUGAAAGUGUUCAGAAACGGCACAUUUAUCAAAUCAUCUACAUUUUUAGACCGCCUUUCAGUUUGAUCAUUGUCCAAAUCCAAAGUUUGUUCAUCAUUCAUUGGAACGUGAAGCUCUGGAAUAAAACCGUUAGCACACGACGGACUCGAGGAAUCUUCCUCUGCUGAAUAAUCAUCACUGUCUUUAAUAGACGGAGAACUUUCGAAUAAGUUCUCCUUGUUGAUGUUUGGAUUGGAAAAGUGUCUCUGAUCCUUUUGGAGUGAUGUUACACCUUCAGACUGAAGACUAGAGCUGACAGAAGACUGAACACAAGGACAUCCACCCAUUAAUGGAUCUACGAACAUCUUCGCAUCUACUGAUAGAUCCACAAAUAUGUUACUAUUUACCUCUGAAGGUUUGACCCUAGCUUCAUCAAUCUGUCCCAGAUGUUCUACCAUAUUUGUGCUUAAAAUUAUCUGUGAUAAUUCAGGAACAGUGAGAUUCUCCAUUUUAUUUACAUUAUCUGAUUCUUCUUCAUUUCUACUUGCACCAGUUAAAUCAGAUGCGUUCUCUAAAGAAGGCUCUGCUUCACUUCCAUCUGGUGGUGCAAGGGUGUGUUUACAAGAUGUAAAAAGGUGUGAACUGAUCGAAUCUGUGUUGUACGUGCCAUCCUGAGAGAUGGAAAGAAGUUCAGCUACCUCAGGAGAUGGACCAUUUAGAACUUCAUCCUGCCCUGGAUCACCUAAAAUCACUGCAUUGGGGUCCAAGAGUACAAUGAGUUCCUCUCCAUCCUUGUUCUUCUCCAGACCUUCAUUCUGUGAAGGAAGUCCAGUUUCCUCAGGAGAUAAACAAUGAUCAAUUUCUGCAUUCUCAACAUCAUCUUCUCCAUUGCAUUCACUUGCUAAUGGUACCACGAGUUCCUCUUUAUCAGUUCCCUUUCUUUCAGAAUAAGACGAGUCCAGAUUUCUGAUUUCAGGAGAGCUUGUAGGAGAAGGUAUGCUCCCAUGAUCUGUUCUCGAACCAUCUAAAUGAAAAGUGCUGUCUAACUGGGAUUCGGCCUUAAUUUUGUCUCUCAUUGUAGGGAUCUCCUCAGAAGUCAGGUUUUUUGAUGUUGUAUGAGAUACACUAGCUUGUGAGACAGAUGAAAAUCCAGCUUCCUCAAGAGAUGAACCUUUUAAAACUUCAUCACACCUUGAGACAUCUAAAUUAAAUGCAUUGCAGCCACCUACCAGAGGUACUGAGAGUUCCUCUCCCUCCGCAUUCACCUCCAGGCCAUCAUUCUUUCUUUCUGAAUGAGCAGAGUCCAGGUUUCUGAGGUCAGUAAAGUGUUCAGAAGAAGAAAAGUCCACAUGGUCUAAAUCAGAAGAGGUUUCUAAUUGGGGUUCUGCUUCACUUCGGUCAGUGAGGGUUAGUGUGCACGUAGAAGCUGUAAAACUUUGUGAAUCGAUUGAGUCUGUGUCAGACACGCUAGCUUGACAGAUGGAAGGAAGUCCAGCUUCCUCAGAAGAUAACCGAUUAACAAUUUCUGCAUUCUCCAGAUCAUCUGCAGUUACUACACUGCAGUCAUUAGCCAGUGGUACCAUGAGUUGCUCUCCAUCCGUGUUCAUCUCCAGACCACUGUUCUUCCUUUCUGAAGGAGAAGAGUCCAGAUCCCUGAGGUCAGGAGAGCUUUUAGGAGAAGGGAAAUCAAAUUGAUCUUCACGUGCAAAGUCUAGAUCGGAACUAGGUCUGUCUAACUGGGCCACAGCUUCAGUUUGGUCAGUAAUCAAAGCUGUGUCAGACGUGCUGGCCUGGGAGAUGAAGGGAAGUCCAGCUUCCUUGGACAAGGUCUCAAACGAUGAUGGAUCCACAAUUUCGUCACAGGAUAAAGAAUCUAAAAUCACUGCACUGUAGUUUCCUGUCAAAGGUACUACAAGUUCUUCUGUGACUGUUUUUAAUUGAACGCCAUCAUUCUUGAUUUCUAAAUGAACUAAGUCCAGAUGUUUGUGGUCAGGAGAAGAACAUUCUACAAGAUCUCUGCUUGGGGCGUCUGAUUCUGAUGCGUUGUCUAACUGGAGCACUGUGUCAGUUUGGUCAGUAGAUGUAAGUGUAUCUUCAGUUGUAAAAAGUUCUGAAUCCGUCAAGUCUUUUGAUGCAGUGUUGGUGUGCAAGAUGGAAGGAAGUCCAGCUUCCUCAAGAAAUGACCAGUUUGCAGCUUCAUCAUCUGAAUCAUCUAAAAUCACUGCACUGACCACUACUGCACUAUUUUCCAGUGGUACUUUGUGUUGCACUUCAUCAGCGUUCAUCUGCUGACCAUCAUUCUUUAUUUCUGAAUGAGAUGACUCCAGGUUUUCCAGGUCUCUGAGGUCAGGAGAACGUUUAGGAGAACAAUCCACUUGAUCGUUGCUUGCAACAACUAAAUUUGAAGUGUUUUCUAACUGACGAGCUUCUUCACUUCUACAGGUGAGCUCUACAGGUGUCUCUACGGAAGUUGGAAAAAGUUGUGAAUCGAUCACAUCCGGGUCGGAUACGCAAACCUCAGAGAUGGAAGGUAGCCCAGCUUCCUUGGAGAAAAUCCUAACAGCUGAAACAUCAGCAGCAUUAUGAUCGAGAAUGAUCACCCUGCACUCCCUUGUCAAUGGUUCCAGGAGUUGCUCUCCAUCCGUGUUCAUCUCCAGACCACUGUUCUUCCCUUCUGAAUGAGAAGAGUCCAGAUUCCUGAGGUCAGGAGAGCUUUUAGGAGAAGGAAAGAUCCCAUGAUCUCUGUGAUUGCUUGUAACAGUGAAAUCUGAAGUGCUGUUUAACUCUGGUUCUGAUGUACUUCUGUAGAUCAGAUCAGGUUUCUCUUGAGGAAUUGUGAAAAGUUGUGAAUCCGUCAAAUUUGGGACAGAGACACUAGCCUGAGAGAUGAAAGGAAGUCCAGCUUCCUCAACGGAUGAACCAUUUAGAACUUCAUCACACCCUGAAUGAAGAUUUCUGAGGUCAGGAGAGCUUCUAGGAGAAGAACAUUUCCUAUGAUCUGUGCUUAAAUCAGGAGUUUGUUCUAACCGCGGCGCUGCUUCACUUCUGUCAGUCAGCGUAAGGGUUUCUUCAGACGUAGCCUGAGAAAUGGAAGGAAGUCCAGCUUCCUCCGACACGAUCUCAAGAGAUGAACGAUGCCCUGAAUGAUCUGAAAUCAUUACACUGGACUCACUGGAUAAUAGUGCCAGGAGUUGCUCUUCACCAGUGUUUAUCUCGAGAACAUCAUCCAUUCUUUCUGAAUAAGAAGAGUCCAGCUUUCGGAGGCAUUUAGAAGAAGAAACAUCCACAAGAUCUCUGCUUGCAACAACUAAAUCCGAACCAGUUAAGUCUUCUGCUGCUGUGCUGGACUGCAGGAUGGAAGGAAGUCCAGCUUCCUCAGAUGGUGACUGAUUUGCAGCUUCAUCACACCCUGAAUCCUCCAAAAUCACUGCAUCGCAGCUGUCCUCCACCUGUACCAGGAGUUCCUCACCAGUUGUAAAAAGUUGUGAAUCGGAGUCUUUUGGUGCAUCCAACACGCUGGUAUGUGAGAGAAAGGGAAGUCCAGCUUCCUCGAGAACUGCACAUCCUGAAUCCGAGUCUGGGAAGCUGCACUCGCUUCCCAAUGCUACCGUGAGUUCCUCUCCAUCCGUGUUCCGCUGUGGACCACCAACUACCGCAUGCUGACCUUCUGAGUCCUGCUUUCUGAGGCCAGGGGAGCGUUUAGGAGAAGAGAAGUUCACGUGAUCUCCAAUAUAAUCCGAGGAAGCGUCGCCGUGCCACGAGCACGUCUCAAAAUACUCCUCAGUCAUGUCCUGAGCUUCUUCCAGUGCUGAUUCUCUCCAAACAUCUCGACUUUCUGCGCUCUUCUCCUGGAGAGAGUCGACAUCUUCUGGAUGAGCAGCAUGUGUAGCGAAG